UGUUUGGAGAGUUUGAUCCUGGCUCAGGACGAACGCUGGCGGCGUGCUUAACACAUGCAAGUCGAGCGGAAAGGCCCUUCGGGGUACUCGAGCGGCGAACGGGUGAGU
rnacentral:rRNA from 1 species